rnacentral:rRNA from 1 species
AGUGAACGCUGGCGGUAGGCCUAACACAUGCAAGUCGAACGGCAGCACAGUAAGAGCUUGCUCUUACGGGUGGCGAGUGGCGGACGGGUGAGGAAUACAUCGGAAUCUACUUUUUCGUGGGGGAUAACGUAGGGAAACUUACGCUAAUACCGCAUACGACCUACGGGUGAAAGCAGGGGAUCUUCGGACCUUGCGCGACUGAAUGAGCCGAUGUCGGAUUAGCUAGUUGGCGGGGUAAAGGCCCACCAAGGCGACGAUCCGUAGCUGGUCUGAGAGGAUGAUCAGCCACACGGGAACUGAGACACGGUCCAGACUCCUACGGGAGGCAGCAGUGGGGAAUAUUGGACAAUGGGCGCAAGCCUGAUCCAGCCAUACCGCGUGGGUGAAGAAGGCCUUCGGGUUGUAAAGCCCUUUUGUUGGGAAAGAAAAGCAGCAGGUUAAUACCCCGCUGUUCUGACGGUACCCAAAGAAUAAGCACCGGCUAACUUCGU